UACGUAGGGUGCAAGCGUUGUCCGGAAUUAUUGGGCGUAAAGAGCUCGUAGGCGGUCUGUUGCGUCGGCUGUGAAAACCUGAGGCUCAACCUCGGGCCUGCAGCCGAUACGGGCAGACUAGAGUUCGGCAGGGGAGACUGGAAUUCCUGGUGUAGCGGUGAAAUGCGCAGAUAUCAGGAGGAACACCGGUGGCGAAGGCGGGUCUCUGGGCCGAUACUGACGCUGAGGAGCGAAAGCGUGGGGAGCGAACAGG
rnacentral:rRNA from 1 species